rnacentral:hammerhead_ribozyme from 1 species
AUUUAGCUGACGAGUUCAGAAUAGGACGAAACAGACAUCCCAGAU